UGGCUCAGUGGUUAAGAGCUUGGCUGUUAACCAAAGAUCGGUAGUUCGAAUCUACC
rnacentral:tRNA from 1 species